CCCUGCGACUACCCAUGGCGAAAAUUGCGACAAUACGAAAAGAGAUACGCCGGGUACUCUGAAAAGACUCAAUAUCACUCUGCCUUCUGGCCAGAAUGGUAGGCUUAUUAUCAUCUUCCAUACAAGCGAUCUUCCCGGGACCACUCCAUUAUCGGCCCAUGCAACGAGCGAAGGCCCACCACUUGAGACAGGGACAUACAUACGACCACUGGAUUCCAGUAUCAGCAGAAGUGUGGACAGAAGUCCAGUGGUGGCUCUUCCCCAUGGAGGACUGGAACGGCAGAGCCAUAUUCGGACCAAACCCGGACUUUGUUCUGG